GACGAACCGUGCGAACGUUGUUCGGAAUCACUGGGCUUAAAGGGCGCGUAGGCGGGCUGCCAAGUCCGUAGGUGAAAUCCCCCAGCUCAACUGGGGAACAGCUUCCGAUACCGGCGGCCUCGAGUGGGGUAGGGGCGUGCGGAACGACGGGUGGAGCGGUGAAAUGCGUUGAUAUCCGUCGGAACUCCGGUGGCGAAGGCGGCACGCUGGACCCUUUUCUGACGCUGAGGCGCGAAAGCCAGGGGAGCGGACGGG
rnacentral:rRNA from 1 species